rnacentral:lncRNA from 1 species
UGCCUUAUGUAUUCCAGACUAGAUGUGAGAGAAGGCAGCAACUCAGAAAUGCUAAUGAGUGAAGACAAAAACAACAACAACAACAAUAAAAGCCUGCUUUUUCUAGCCAAUGAACCAAAAAAAGUAGCAGCCUAACAAGACAAAAUUUUCAGACAACAAUGCUCUACUCCAGCCAAACACCCUAGAAAAAUAUGUGGACCCACCUCCAUCUGAACCAGUGAAAAUCCAUGCUCAGGUUGUAACUAAGCACCCCAAGUGCCUACCCCAUGACUCUCCCUGUACCUCUUAUAGCAAUGGGGUGACCCGCCUCCUCUCCUGAGGCCAGGAGUUUAAGACCAGCCUGAGCAACAUAGCAAGAUCCCCACCUCUACACAUUAAAGAAAUUAGCUGAGCAUAGUGGUGCAUGCCUCUAGUCCUAGCUACUCGGGAGGCUGAAUCAGGAGGAUUGCUUGAGGCCAGGAGUUUCAGGCUUCAGAGAGCUAAGACUGUGCCACUGUACUCCAGCCUGGGUGACUGAGUGAGAUUUUAUUUCUGGAGAAAAAAAAAUAUUGUAAAAUGCUGAUAAUAUAGUAGACUAA